GAGUUUGAUCCUGGCUCAGGACGAACGCUGGCGGCGCGCCUAACACAUGCAAGUCGAACGAGUGAGAGAGAGCUUGCUUUCUCGAGCGAGUGGCGAACGGGUGAGUAACGCGUGAGGAACCUGCCUCAAAGAGGGGGACAACAGUUGGAAACGACUGCUAAUACCGCAUAAGCCCACGGCUCGGCAUCGAGCAGAGGGAAAAGGAGCAAUCCGCUUUGAGAUGGCCUCGCGUCCGAUUAGCUGGUUGGUGAGGUAACGGCCCACCAAGGCGACGAUCGGUAGCCGGACUGAGAGGUUGAACGGCCACAUUGGGACUGAGACACGGCCCAGACUCCUACGGGAGGCAGCAGUGGGGAAUAUUGCACAAUGGGGGAAACCCUGAUGCAGCGACGCCGCGUGGAGGAAGAAGGUCUUCGGAUUGUAAACUCCUGUUGUUGAGGAAGAUAAUGACGGUACUCAACAAGGAAGUGACGGCUAACUACGUGCCAGCAGCCGCGGUAAAACGUAGGUCACAAGCGUUGUCCGGAAUUACUGGGUGUAAAGGGAGCGCAGGCGGGAAGGCAAGUUGGAAGUGAAAUCCAUGGGCUCAACCCAUGAACUGCUUUCAAAACUGUUUUUCUUGAGUAGUGCAGAGGUAGGCGGAAUUCCCGGUGUAGCGGUGGAAUGCGUAGAUAUCGGGAGGAACACCAGUGGCGAAGGCGGCCUACUGGGCACCAACUGACGCUGAGGCUCGAAAGUGUGGGUAGCAAACAGGAUUAGAUACCCUGGUAGUCCACACUGUAAACGAUGAUUACUAGGUGUUGGAGGAUUGACCCCUUCAGUGCCGCAGUUAACACAGUAAGUAAUCCACCUGGGGAGUACGACCGCAAGGUUGAAACUCAAAGGAAUUGACGGGGGCCCGCACAAGCAGUGGAGUAUGUGGUUUAAUUCGACGCAACGCGAAGAACCUUACCAAGUCUUGACAUCCUGCGACGCACAUAGAAAUAUGUGUUUCCUUCGGGACGCAGAGACAGGUGGUGCAUGGUUGUCGUCAGCUCGUGUCGUGAGAUGUUGGGUUAAGUCCCGCAACGAGCGCAACCCUUAUGGUCAGUUACUACGCAAGAGGACUCUGGCCAGACUGCCGUUGACAAAACGGAGGAAGGUGGGGAUGACGUCAAAUCAUCAUGCCCUUUAUGACUUGGGCUACACACGUACUACAAUGGCGUUAAACAAAGAGAAGCAAGACCGCGAGGUGGAGCAAAACUCAGAAACAACGUCCCAGUUCGGACUGCAGGCUGCAACUCGCCUGCACGAAGUCGGAAUUGCUAGUAAUCGCAGAUCAGCAUGCUGCGGUGAAUACGUUCCCGGGCCUUGUACACGCCGCCCGUC
rnacentral:rRNA from 1 species